UUUCAAAGAGAUUAUAAGUUUGCAAGGUAGUGCUCCGCCUAACUACUCAAAGCAGAGAAAAAAAAACAGCAACUGUUUCGCCCAGUGAAGGCUGCAAAGCGGGGGGAUUUUAAUUGAAAAUUUCUUCUUGUCUUAAGGUAAAAUUGUUCCUACUUAUUUGUUUUAAAUUUUAUUCAAGAUAAUUUGAUUUGGAUAGUAAAAGUUUAAGCAUCAAGAUAAGGAAUUUGUACAAUUAGGUGUAAUUUUGAGGAUGAAAUUCGGUGAUUUGGAAGUUAGCCUAAGAUUCUAGAGCGGGAUAAUUUUUAGUGGUUAUGUUAAUCUUAGACCAAGAAAAUUAACGCGAUAUUAAUAUGACGUGAUUUUAGGUUUGAUCCAAGAAAGUGAUACGAAUCUUUCGGGGUGACAAAUUCGGUAUUUUGACAAGAGUACUGUGAGAAGUAAUUUUCCCACAAUUUGUGUUUGUUAAAUUGUAUAUUUAUACAUAUUUUUUAUGAAAUAAUGAGUUAUGAAAUGCUUUGAAAUUGUAUGUGGGGCAAGUCCUUUACUUAAUAUGAUAUUGAUAUAGUUAUUUGAGAUAUGAUAUUACUAUUGUGAAUAUUCUUCACUUAUAUUAGGAAUAAGUAUUUUUGAUAUAUGUUUUACUCAAGUUUACAUGUAUUAUGAACGAUAUGAAUUUUAAAGUUACAUUCUAUUCUAAAAGAUAUUUUCAUACGAAUAUCCUUUUGUUUUCAAAGAAUUUAUGAGUGGGAGUAGACCUUGAUUGAAUCCCGUAGCUAACAGUGGGAUCAUUAGACCUGGUGCACCUUGUAUUUACUGAUGAAUAUUACAGCCCUCGCUAGUGGAAAAGUAGAACUAGCAUACUGAUACUGAUAUGAUUUGACUCAUUUAUGAGGGGUCCACUGUUAUGAGUUAUUCUUAAUGAAUAAGAAUGCCACACUGAUUAUAUGAUUCAUUCUUGGAAACCUCCCAAAUAUGUAUGUUAGAUAUGAUAUGAUGUUUUUUAAGUUUAUUACUGAACUAUUGAUUCACUCUGCUUAUAUGAAGCAAAUGAUACUGUUUAUUGCUAUUGUUUUCUGAAAGGGAAUUAUUUCAUGAGGUUUUAUGACUUGUACCCAUUAAAACGGCUAUGGUUUAGUGUUAUUAUUCACUGAGCUAGCAUCUCACUCCUCGCUAUUAUUUUUCAAAGAACGCAGGUGACGGUAAGGAUGUAAUAACCCAUACGGUCAUUUUCCUGUAUUUUUCAUAUAAUUUUAGUAAUAUCUAAAUAUAUCAUGGAUUAUUUUAUUUAAUUUGGCAUUUGGUAGAAAUAUAAUUUAGUACCCUUAUCGAAUAUAUUCGAUAUUGAUAAAAUUCUUUAAGUGACGAUAUAUUUAUAUCACUUUAUAAUGGACUUUUAUGAUUUAUUAAUAUUUGAAGCGGAGAUAGUAAUUUUAGAAAUGUUAGAAUAUUAUUAUUAUAUAAUAGAGGUUCUGUUAGAAAUAUUUUUCUAUUAAUUAUGGUAUAUUCAAAUUAUUAAAAAAAAAAUUCCAUGAAUUUAUGCAAUGCCCAAAUAUAUAUAUGUUGUGCAAAAAAUUUAUUAGUGUGUCCACCACUACCGCACACUUGGAAAUGGAUGGAUGGACACACGUUGCUGCUACUUGCUAGGAAAGGUAGCCUUUACUUUUUAAAAAGGAAGUUAAAACAAUGAAGAGGAGUGAACUUUCAUUCACUACUUCUGCACACAUAUACACGUCCAUAUCUAUAUUUCUCUUAUAUUGGCCUUUCUCAAUUUGCUUCUUUUUUUAGAAAAUCAAUUAAACUUCUUGGUUAGCCUUAUAAAAUUUCAUAUAAAUUAAUUAUUUGAAUCAAUUAUUCAAGCUUGGAUUCUACUAGUAUUAUUAGGAGGCUUCACGGAUAGAUAUUCUAGCUUUGGCGUCCAGGUAGGCUUUGUUUACCCUACUUUUAGAUUGAGCUUAUAUACCAAAAUUCUUGGAUUCUACUAGUAUUAUUUGGAGGCUUCACGGAUAGAUAUUCUAGCUUUGGCGUCCAGGUAGGCUUUGUUUACCCUACUUUUAGAUUGAGCUUAUAUACCAAAAUUGUGAACUAUUAUGCUAGAUUUGAAUAAAUACUUGUAGAUGCAUUUUAUUUGAUUUAUAUAAACUGUCUUAUUAUCCGGAUUAGGGCCUCGUUCUAGUAAAUAUUGAAAUAUAAUCUUUUAACAUAAUAUAGCAUCUAUUACUUUAAAAGUGAAGCUAAAAUGCAAAAAUCUUGAAUUUAUCCCUUUUUAAUUAAGAUUAAUGAAUGAUUAUUUAGACAUUUAUAUUGUUAUGAUAUGGAUUUUAAUAUUAUCGGUGGAUUAUGAUUACUAUGAGUUCCGGUUCGAGUCCGGCAAUUGACUAUUAUGAUUACUAUGAGUUUCGGUGUCCGGAAAUUGACUAUUUUUGUUACUACAAGCUCCGAUUUGAGUCCGGCAUCUGAUUAUAGUUGGGGUUACUCUGAGUUCCAGUUCGAGUCCGGCAUCUGAUUAUUUAUGUUUACUUUCACCACUUGUUUGUCCCACCGACUUAUGGGGGUAUGGUUGGGUUAAUUGUCUUCUUCAGUGUGCCUAGCGGGCUUAUGGGGGCUCAGUUAGGUUAUGUUUGAUUUAUUUGUUAUUACUGCAUCAUUAUUUUUCUGUAUUGCACAAGCUUAUUCCUUUACAGCUAUUGCAUAGCUUGGUAGUUAUUUACCUUUCCAUCCCUACUUACUAAUGACUCAGAUUAUUCCCUCGCAUUUUAGUUAUACCUUUUCUGUAUUAAGCUCAGCCGGCUGAUGAUGCCUAUUGAGUACCCGUGGUUUUUGGUACUCAUACUACACUUUUGCAUCUUUUUCCUAAUACAAAUCAAGGUACUAGUAGUCGACGUUGACGCGGUUCCUACCUUUCAGUGCUGGUUUAGAGCAGGGUGAGCUUACUAUCAUCCGAGGCUGAUCCUCCUCUAUCUACUCUAGUUAGUCUUUUUCACUCAAGACUACUUGUGUACAUUUUAGAUUUUUGUCUAGUACUCUGGGUACCUGUUAGUAGUGGCUCUAGUACUGACCUUAUCAGGUCUUGGGAGGGAUUAAUUUAUAUAGUUGACCCUUUUUCCUCCUCUCAUUUUGAUAUAAUACAUAUGCUUUCUUCUUAGUUUUCACUUAUUAUUGUGAUUGUUAUCAUCAUAUGCGAUAUUUUAUUUUGUCCCUGCCUAUUAGCCCGUUACCUAUUAUUCCGGGCUAUGGUUUGGCUUGCCUACUAGUGGGAUAAGGUAGGCGCCAUCACGACUUAAGAAAUAGGGUCGUGAUAACUUGGUAUCAGAGCUUAGGUCGCACUGGUAUUGUUAGUACUGGAGCUAAUGUUUAGUAGAGUCUUGCGGAUCGGUACGGAGACGUCUGUAUCCUAUCCUUGGGAGGCUAUAGAGCAUUGUUAAAAAAAACAAAAAUCUCAUUCUCUUAAUCCAUUUUAUGUGUUGAGUUUGAGUUAGUUGUAAUCUUUUUAUUGGUUCACUCUAUACCCAGAUGGCUAGGACGCGAGGUUCGAGAGUAGGGGGUCAGGAUCGUGGGUCCGCUUCUAGAGUUCUAGCUUGGGGUCGAGGUCGACCCAGAUUUUAGGGGCAGGGUAGAGUAGUAGCCCCUGUUCGAGAUCAGACCAGAAAUCCAUCAACCGAAACCGUUAUAGCUCUGGGGAUUGAGAGACUUCUAGGUAUUCCUCUACAUCAGCAGGUGGGCCAGGGGCAGCCCAGGAUCCACCCGGCUUUAUAUCUUCUUCGAUUAUUCGGGAUACAUUAGUUCAGUUAUUGGGGUUAGUUAGCGGUCCACCAGUCAUGAGAGCUUAUCCAGCAGCGCAGAGUGGUGUAGAUUUAGGGGCACAGCCUGCGGCAGCGGCGCCAAGGGUAGAGGUUCUGCCAGCACCAGUAGUCCCACAGCCGGAAGUAGCCCAGCCACUUAUGUCUGCAGAGAAGCAGAAGAUAUUGGGUUGAUUUUUAAGAUUAACUCCACCCAGGUUUGCCGAGACCCCGGGAGAGGAUGCUUAUGAGUUCCUAUCUAGUUGCGAGCAACGGUUGCGGAAUUUGGGGCUGGUUGAGGCACAAUGAGUAGACUUUGUUUCUUAUCAGAUCAACACAGUAACGAGGAGGUGGUGGACAGGUUAUCUUGAUUCCAGGCCAACCUGAUCUCCACCAGUGACUUGGACUCAGCUAUCUGAGGCUUUUUUGGGGAAGUACAUACCUCGUAGCAUGCGUGAGCAUCUCCGAGAUGAGUUUACCAUAUUGAGGCAGGGUUCCAUGACUGUGGUGGAGUAUUAGACGAGGUUUCAUGAGUUAUCCCGACACGCCACUAUGAUUCUGGAUAUGGAGUACGAGCGGAUUUGAUGCUUUGUUAGGGGAUUGAGAUUGUCACUCCGUAGGGAUACUCAGAGUUUGGUGACUUCAGGGAAGUCUUUUUUGGAGAUAGACGACUAUGUUUAUUCCAUAGAGGAGAUGGAUUAUGAGGCCCAAGGGGGCAGCGAUAAGAGACCACGCUACCAGGGUAGUUACAGUGGUUCACAGUCCUCAGGCUGAGGAUUUCAUGGUCGGUACCCUCAUCAGCAGAUUUCUCGGUAUCAGGGUCAGCCUAGUCAGCCAGUUCAGGCAUUGCUUCAGAUAUCCGAUAGGGGUCAGCCCAUCUAUUAUAGUUCCAGUGGUCAGAGUAGCAGCCAGCCACAGAGGGUUGUUCAGUCGGGAUCAUCGAGUAGGGGUAGUCAUCCUAGAUUCGUUGGACCUUCUAGUCAGAGCAGGGUGCCCGGGGCAUGUUAUGACUGCAGAGUUAUUGGUCUCUUCGCUCGUGAGUGUCCUCUGCGUAAGAUGAUUGAGCCUCCAAUUCUGGCUAUCCAAUCGAUCAGAUCAGUGUCGUCGUUAGGUAGGGGUGGUGUACAGGGUCGUAGAGGUGGUUCCCAGGGUUCUAGAGAUGGUCCGCAGGGAGGUAGGGCAGGCGGUCGGGCAGGUACCUAGUCUAGUAGUGGACAGGGUAAUUUGUAUGUUAUUCCAGGUAGAUCAGGGGCUGAGGCUUCGGAUACUGUGAUUAUAGGUAUGAUUUUCGUGUUCCAUCAACUAGCUUCUAUUUUGCUUGAUCCUGAUUCCACCUUUUCAUAUGUUUCUACGUAUUUUGUAUAGCUCCUGGGUUUAUAUUCAGAGUCUUUAUCUGUGCCGUUACGUGUGGCUACCCCGGUGGGUGACUUUUUAGUAGUAGAUCGGGUAUGUAGAUCUUGUUUGGUCACUAUUCGAGAGUUUGAUACUCAUAUUGAUGUUAUUGUCCUAGAUAUGGUUGAUUUUGAUAUGAUUCUAGGCAUGGAUUGGUUGUCUCCUUACCAUGCGGUCUUGGAUUGUUUUGCUAAGAUCGUUACUUUAGCUUUGCUUGGCAUACCCCCAGUUGUGUGGCAGGGUUCUGUUAACCACGCACCGAUGGGGAUUAUUUCGUACAUCCAGGCUAGAAGACUGAUAUCGAGAGGUUAUGAGUCUUUUUUUCCAUAUAUCCGGGAUGUUAGUGUUAAGAGUUCCCCGCUUGACUUCGUCCCUGUUGUUCACAAGUUUUCUGAUGUAUUUCCGAUCGACCUACCUGGCCUUCCUCCUGAGCAUUAUGUAGAGUUUAUUAUUGACCUCGAGCCUGGAACCUGACCUAUUUCUAUGGAUCCGUAUCGUAUGGCUCCUGCUAAGCUGAAGGAGCUGAAUAGUCAGCUUCAGGAUCUUCUAGGUAAGGGAUUUAUCAGACCGAGUGUAUCUCCUUGGAGUGCUCCAAUUUUGUUUAUGAAGAAGAAAGAUGGCUCCUUGCGUAUGUGUAUCGACUACAAGCAAUUAAAUAAGGUUACUAUAAAGAAUAAGUAUCCUAUGCCUCGCAUCAAUGGUUUGUAUGAUUAGCUUCAGGGUGCAGUGGUGUUUUCUAAGAUUGAUUUGAGGUCCGGUUACCAUCAGUUAAGAAUUAGGCUGCGGACAUCCCUAAGACAGCCUUCAGGACUCGUUAUGGUCAUUAUGAGUUCCUAGUGAUGUCUUUUGGGUUGACCAAUGCUCCAGUAGCUUUUAUAGAUUUGAUGAAUUGCGUGUUCAGGCCAUAUUUGGACUCCUUUGUGAUAGUAUUUAUUGAUGAUAUUCUGGUAUAUUCGAGGAGUAACGAGGAGCACGAGCAGCAUUUGAGGACUAUACUUCGCACUUUGAGAGACCACAGGGUUUAUGCCAAGUUCUCAAAAUGUGAGUUUUGGCUUAAUUCUGUAGCUUUCUUGGGGCACAGAGUAUCCAAGGAUGGUAUUAUGGUGGACCCAGCCAAGAUUAAGGCUAUUCGUAGUUAGGCUAGGCCUACGUCACCUUCUGAGGUUCGCAGCUUUAUUAGGUUGGCAGGUUACUACAGGCGGUUCAUUGAGGGCUUUUUUUCUAUUGCAGCCCCUAUGACUAGAUUGACCAGGAAGGAGGUUCCAUUUCAGUGGUCUGGGAGUUGUGAGGCGAGCUUUAUGAAGCUCAAGGAUUUGCUUACUUCAGCUCUUAUUCUGACUCUUCCUGUUGAGAGCGAGGGUUUUACUGUCUAUUGCGAUGCAUCUGGUGUUGGUUUGGGGUGUGUUCUGAUGCAGCAUGGACGUGUUAUUGCAUAUGCAUCGAUGCAGUUGAAGGUGCAUGAGCGCAACUACCCCACCCAUGAGUUAAAGUUAGCAGCGGUAGUAUUUUUACUUAGGAUUUGGAGGCAUUAUUUGUAUGGGGUCCACUAUGAGAUAUUUACUGAUCAACACAGUCUUUAGUAUAUUAUGACCCAGAAGGAGCUUAAUUUGAGGCAGCGCAGGUGGAUUGAGUUGCUGAAAGACUAUGAUAUCUCUAUUCUCUAUCAUCGGGGCAAGGCGAAUAUGGUAGCGGAUGCCUUGAGUCAGAAGUCAGUAAGUAUGGGUAGCUUAGCUUUCAUUUCAGCUUCUCAGCGGCUAUUGGCUUUGGAUAUUCAAUCCUUAGCUAACAUGAUGAUUCGUUUAGAUAUUUCUAACCCUCGGAGAAUCAUUGCUAGUGUUGAGGCCAGAUCCACCUUGUUGGAGCAGAUUUGGAGUCAUCAGUUUGAGGAUGACAAGCUUCACAGCCUUUAAGAGCAGGUGUUGAGGGGUGAGUCUCAGCGGGCUACCCUAGAUUCUGAGGGUGUCUUGAGGUUUGACGGUCGUAUUUAUGUUCCAAGGAUUGGAGAUUUGAUCCAGUUGAUUCUUUGUGAGGCUCAUAGCUCUAGAUACUAUAUUCAUCCCGGUACAGCUAAGAUGUACAGAGAUUUGAGGCAGCAUUACUGGUGGAGUGGUAUGCGAAGAGAUAUAGCAGGGUAUAUGGCUCGAUGUCUUUGUUACCAGUAGGUAAAGGUUGAGCAUCAAAGGCCUGGUGGAUUGUUGCAGUAGCUACCUAUUCCCGAGUGGAAAUGGGAGCUAAUUACUAUGGAUUUUGUAGGUGGAUUGCCUCGUACAUCUCGUGUUUUUGAUAGCAUUUGGGUCAUCAUAGAUCGAUUGACCAAGUCUGCACAUUUUAUCCCCGUUCGAGUUUCCUACAGUGCUGAAAGGUUAGCUCGUGUUUACAUUCAGGAGGUGGUUUGCCUACAUGGGGUCCCUGUGUCCAUUAUUUUCGACCGAGGCUCUCAGUUCACUUCUAGCUUUUGGAGGGCAUUUCAGGAUGAGUUGGGGACCCAGGUUGACCUUAGCACAACUUUUCAUCCAUAGACUGAUGGGCAGUCAGAGUGGACUAUUCAGGGUCUAGAAGAUAUGCUCUGCGCUUGUGUGUUGGAUUUUGGGGGUCAGUGGGACCAAUUCUACCUUUGGUAGAGUUUGCUUAUAAUAACAGUUUUUACUCGAGUAUUCAGAUGGAUCCGUUUGAGGCAUUGUAUGGUAGGAGAUGUCGAUCUCCUGUUGGUUGGUUGAGGCUUCUGAGGCUAGACCUCGUGGCACAGAUUUGCUUCGUGAUUCGCUGGAUCAGGUUUGAGUAAUUCAGGAUAGGCUACGAGCAUCUCAGAGCAGACAAAGAAGUUAUACUGAUCGCAGACGUCGUCUAUUGAGUUUCAGAGUUAGUGAUAGGGUCUUCCUGUGAGUAUCACCCAUGAAGGGCAUGAUGAGUUUCGGGAGGAAGGGCAAGCUUAGCCCUAGAUAUAUUGGACCUUUUGAGAUCCUACAGAGAGUUGGGGAGGUAUCUUAUGUGUUGGCAUUGCCACCUGCCUUCUCAGCCAUUCACCGGGCAUUUCAUGUAUCUAUAUUCGAUAUUGAUAAAAUUCUUUAAGUGACGAUAUAUUUAUAUCACUUUAUAAUGGACUUUUAUGAUUUAUUAAUAUUUGAAGCGGAGAUAGUAAUUUUUGAAAUGUUAAAAUAUUAUUAUUAUAUAAUAGAGGUUUUGUUAGAAAUAUUUUUCUAUUAAUUAUGGUAUAUACAAAUUAUUAAAAUUAUUUUACCACGAAUUUAUGCGAUGCCCGAAUAUAUAUGUGCUGUGCAGAAAAUUUAUUAGUGUGUCCACCACUACCGCACACUUGGAAAUGAUGGAUGGACACACGUUGCUGCUACUUGCUAGGAAAAGUAGCCUUUGCUUUUUAAAAUGGAAGUAAAAACAAUGAAGAGGAGUGAACUUUCAUUCACUACUUCUGCACGCAUAUACACGUCCAUAUCUAUAUUUCUCUUAUAUUGGCCUUUCUCAAUUUGCUUCUCUUUUUAGAAAAUCAAUUAAAGUUCUUGGUUAGUCUUAUAAAAUUUCAUAUAAAUUAAUUAUUUGAAUCAAUUAUUCAAGCAUGGAUUCUACUAGUAUUAUUCGGAGGCUUUGCGGACAGAUAUUCUAGCUUUGGCGUCCAGGUAGGCUAGGUUUAACCUACUUUUAGAUUGAGAUUAUAUACUGAAAUUGUGAACUAUUAUGCUAGCUUUGAAUAAAUACUUGUAGAUGCAUAUUAUUUGAUUUAUAUAAACUGUCUUAUUUAUCCGGAUUAGGGCCUCAUUCUAGUGAAUAUUGAAAUACAAUCUUUUAACAUAAUAUAGCAUCUAUUACUUUAAAACGUGAAGCUAAAAUGCAAAAAUCUUGAAUUUAUCCCUUUUUAAUUAAGAUUAAUGAAUGAUUAUUUACACAUAUAUAUUGUUAUGAUAUGGAUUUUAAUAUUAUCGGUGGAUUAUGAUUACUAUGAGUUCCGGUUCGAGUCCGGCAAUUGACUAUUAUGAUUACUACGAGUUCCGGUGUCCGGAAAUUGACUAUUUUUGUUACUACAAGCUCCGAUUUGAGUCCGGCAUCUGAUUAUAGUUGGGGUUACUCUGAGUUCCAGUUCGAGUCCGGCAUCUGAUUAUUUAUGUUUACUUUCACCACUUAUGUGUCCCACCGGCUUAUGGGGGUAUGGUUGGGUUAAUUGUCUUCUUCAGUGUGCCUAGCAGGCUUAUGGGGGCUCAGUUAGGUUAUGUUUGAUUUAUUUGUUAUUAAUGCAUCAUUAUUUUUCUGUAUUGCAUAAGUUUAUUCCUUUACAACCAUUGCAUAGCUUGGUAGUUGCUUACCUUUCCAUCCCUACUUACUAAUGACUCAGAUUAUGCCCUCGCAUUGUAGUUAGACCUUUUCUGUAUUAAGCUCAGCCGGCCGAUGAUGCCUACUGAGUACCCAUAAUUUUUGGUACUCAUACUACACUUUUGCAUCUUUUUCCUGAUGCAGAUCCAGGUACUAGCAGUCGGCGUUGACGCGGUUCCUACCUUUCAGUGCUGGUUUAGAGCGGGGUGAGCUUACUGUCGUCCGAGGUUGAUCCUCCU
rnacentral:lncRNA from 1 species